AAUGUCGUAACAAGGUUUCCGUAGGUGAACCUGCGGAAGGAUUAUUAUUGAAACUUGAAUCGUAGCAUUGAGAACUGUUGCUGUCCUGUUAAAGGGUAUGUGCACGUUCGACGUGUUGCGUUCUAUUCAUCCACCUGUGCACCUUUGUAGACUUGAUUAACUUUCGCUCUCGAGCGGUUAGAAGGGUUGCUUUCGAGCUCCCUUUGUCUAUCAAGUCUAUGUCUAUAUAAUCUCUUGUAUGUCUAGAAUGUCUUGUUUAUGGGACGCAAGUCCUUUAAAUCUUAUACAA
rnacentral:misc_RNA from 1 species